AUUGUUGAGUUGUAGGAGUUCUUUAUAUAUUCUGGAUAUCAACCCCUUAUUCUGAUGCUCUCAUGAACAGUUUCAUUUAAUACAAACAUGGGCAGGGGAGCAGAAUGGUAAUUUUUUCCACAUCUGAAACCCCAUUCCAGAUUGUCCUGGAUCCCAGUCCCUCCCUAAGAGUAAUAGCAAACCCAUGAUUCCUUCUUAUACUAUUUUACUGUUUUCAAAGAAGUUU
rnacentral:lncRNA from 1 species